rnacentral:ncRNA from 1 species
UAAAAAUUUAAUUUAUAUUUAUUAAUUUAUUUUAUAAAUGAUAAUAUUAAUAAAAUUUUUAUUAAAAAUAAUUUAUUUAAAUUUAAAUAAUUUAUAAAUAAAUUAAUUAAUAUUUUUAAUAAUUAAAAUUAUUAUAAUAAUAUAUAGUAAUUUAUAAUAAUAAUAAUAAAAUUAGUGCCAGCAAUUGCGGUUAGACUAAUAUUAUAAAUAAAUUUUUAUUUUAAUUAAUAAUUAAAUAAGAGGCUUGAAAAAUUUAAUAUAAAAUAUAUUUUAUAUGGUGAAAUAUCUAAAAUAUUAUGUGUUUAAUUUAAUAAUGAGGUGAUUUUAUUAAUUUAUAUAAUAAAUUAGGAUUAGAUACCCUAUUAUUAUAAAUAAAAAUUAAUUAAUUAAAAAUUAAAUGUAAAUCAUUAAAUUAAAAUAAUUUGGCGGUAUUUUAAAUAGUUAGAGGAAUUUGUUAGUUAAAUGAUAAUCCACGAUUGGAUCAUCCUAAUAGUAUUUUUAUGUAUUGUUGUAUAAAAAUUAUUUUAUUAAAAUUUAAUAAUUAGUAUAUUUGAUAUAAUAUGAAUUCAAAUCAAAGUGUAGAAUUAUUAGGUAUAUAAUGAAUUACAGUUUAAUUUAGUAUUGAAUUUAUUUUUUUAAUUAGAAUAAUGAAAUAGGAUUUAAGAGUAAAUUUAAAUAAAUUUUUAAAUUGAAAUAUAAAUUGAAAUAUGUACAAAUUGCCCGUCAUUUUCAUAAAUAAAUAAUUGAAAGAAGUCGUAACAAAGUAAGUGUACAGGAAUGUGUAUUUAGAUAAUA